UACGUAGGGGGCAAGCGUUGUCCGGAUUUAUUGGGCGUAAAGAGCGUGUAGGCGGCCUGGAAGGUCAGCUGUGAAAACUCGAGGCUCAACCUCGAGACGUCGGUUGAAACCACCUGGCUAGAGUCCGGAAGAGGAGAGUGGAAUUCCCGGUGUAGCGGUGAAAUGCGCAGGUAUCGGGAAGAACACCCGUGGCGAAGGCGGCUCUCUGGGACGGUACUGACGCUGAGACGCGAAAGCGUGGGGAGCGAACAGG
rnacentral:rRNA from 1 species